ACCCGCUGAACUUAAGCAUAUCAAUAAGCGGAGGAAAAGAAACCAACAGGGAUUGCCUUAGUAACGGCGAGUGAAGCGGCAAAAGCUCAAAUUUGAAAUCGGCCACCAGGUCGAGUUGUAAUUUGUAGAUUGUAUCUUGAGAGCGGAUUAAAGUCUGUUGGAACACAGCGCCUUAGAGGGUGACAGCCCCGUAAAAUCUAUUCUCAUUGUAAGAUACUUUCGAAGAGUCGAGUUGUUUGGGAAUGCAGCUCUAAGUGGGAGGUAAAUUCCUUCUAAAGCUAAAUAUUGACGAGAGACCGAUAGCGAACAAGUACUGUGAAGGAAAGAUGAAAAGCACUUUGAAAAGAGAGUGAAAAAGUACGUGAAAUUGUUAAAAGGGAAGGGUAUUGAAUCAGACUUGGUGCUGUUGUUCAACUGUGUUCUGGCACAGUGUACUCAGCAGUACUAGGCCAAGGUGGGGUGUUUGGGAGUGAAAAAGAAGUUGGAACGUAACUCUUCGGAGUGUUAUAGCCUACUUUCAUAGCUCCUCAGGCGCCUCAGGACUGCGCUUCGGCAAGGACCUUGGCAUAAUGAUUCUAUACCGCCCGUCUUGAAACACGGACCAAGAG
rnacentral:rRNA from 1 species